rnacentral:tRNA from 1 species
UGGGGCGUGGCCAAGCGGUAAGGCUCGGGCCUUUGGAGCCUGGAUCCUAGGUUCGAAUCCUAGCGCCCCAG